rnacentral:rRNA from 1 species
AGUGAACGCUGGCGGUAGGCCUAACACAUGCAAGUCGAACGGCAGCACAGUAAGCGCUUGCUCUUACGGGUGGCGAGUGGCGGACGGGUGAGGAAUACAUCGGAAUCUACUUUUUCGUGGGGGAUAACGUAGGGAAACUUACGCUAAUACCGCAUACGACCUACGGGUGAAAGCAGGGGAUCUUCGGACCUUGCGCGAUUGAAUGAGCCGAUGUCGGAUUAGCUAGUUGGCGGGGUAAAGGCCCACCAAGGCGACGAUCCGUAGCUGGUCUGAGAGGAUGAUCAGCCACACUGGAACUGAGACACGGUCCAGACUCCUACGGGAGGCAGCAGUGGGGAAUAUUGGACAAUGGGCGCAAGCCUGAUCCAGCCAUGCCGCGUGAGUGAUGAAGGCCUUCGGGUUGUAAAACCCUUUUGUUAGGAAAGAAAAACAGCAGAUUAAUACCCCGCUGUUCUGACGGUACCCAAAGAAUAAGCACCGGCUAACUUCGUG